rnacentral:rRNA from 1 species
AGAAUCAACGCUGGCGGCGUGCCUAACACAUGCAAGUCGCACGAGAAAGUGGAGCAAUCCAUGAGUAAAGUGGCGCACGGGUGAGUAACACGUGAAUUAUCUACCUCCGAGUGGGGAAUAACUGAGAGAAAUCUUAGCUAAUACCGCAUAACACUUACGAGUCAAAGCAGCAAUGCGCUUGGAGAGGAGUUCGCGGCCGAUUAGUAGUUGCGGGGUAAUGGCCCACCAAGACGAUGAUCGGUA